ACGAGAAUAUUCCGCAAUGGACGAAAGUCUGACGGAGCGACGCCGCGUGAUUGAUGAAGUGCUUCGGUACGUAAAGAUCUUUUAUCGGGGACGAAGUUUAUUGACGGUACCCGAUGAAUAAGGGGCUCCUAACUCUGUGCCAGCAGGAGCGGUAAUACAGAGGCCCCAAGCAUUACCCGGAAUCACUGGGCGUAAAGGGUGUCAAGGCGGCCUUAUUAGUCUCUCGUAAAAUCUGUGGGCUUAACCUACAGCGCGCGAGGGAAACGGUAAGGCUCGAGGGCGCGAGAGGUGCACGGAACUCAUGGUGGAGGGGUGAAAUCCGUUGAUAUCAUGGGGAACACCAAAAGCGAAGGCAGUGCACUGGCGCGUUUCUGACGCUCACACACGAAAGCCAGGGGAG
rnacentral:rRNA from 1 species